AAAUGCUAGGGUAAAAGAUCAAAAUGUCGUUCUUGCUUGCAAGAUAAGAUAUUUGAGCUUGUAACCCGCUAAAACAUGAGGAGGCAGCGAUUUACAACGUAAAUCUGCGAAUUCCGAAUGUUUUAUAGAAUUGUGGGAGCUACAUUGUAACGGAGCAAUUCGUGGGCAUUU
rfam:Firmicutes bacterium CAG:56 genomic scaffold, scf640